GGAAGGGUGGCAGAGUGGUCGAUUGUACUUGACUCGAAAUCAAGCGUACGGAAACGUACCGAGGGUUCGAAUCCCUCCCCUUCCGCCA
rnacentral:tRNA from 1 species